CUAAUACAUGCAAGUAGAACGCUGAAGCUUGGUGCUUGCACCGAGCGGAUGAGUUGCGAACGGGUGAGUAACGCGUAGGUAACCUGCCUGGUAGCGGGGGAUAACUAUUGGAAACGAUAGCUAAUACCGCAUAACAGUCGACAUUGCAUGAUGUUGAUUUGAAAGGGGCAAUUGCUCCACUACCAGAUGGACCUGCGUUGUAUUAGCUAGUUGGUGAGGUAACGGCUCACCAAGGCGACGAUACAUAGCCGACCUGAGAGGGUGAUCGGCCACACUGGGACUGAGACACGGCCCAGACUCCUACGGGAGGCAGCAGUAGGGAAUCUUCGGCAAUGGACGGAAGUCUGACCGAGCAACGCCGCGUGAGUGAAGAAGGUUUUCGGAUCGUAAAGCUCUGUUGUAAGAGAAGAACGAGUGUGAGAGUGGAAAGUUCACACUGUGACGGUAACUUACCAGAAAGGGACGGCUAACUACGUGCCAGCAGCCGCGGUAAUACGUAGGUCCCGAGCGUUAUCCGGAUUUAUUGGGCGUAAAGCGAGCGCAGGCGGUUAGAUAAGUCUGAAGUUAAAGGCUGUGGCUUAACCAUAGUACGCUUUGGAAACUGUUUAACUUGAGUGCAGAAGGGGAGAGUGGAAUUCCAUGUGUAGCGGUGAAAUGCGUAGAUAUAUGGAGGAACACCGGUGGCGAAAGCGGCUCUCUGGUCUGUAACUGACGCUGAGG
rnacentral:rRNA from 1 species